rnacentral:lncRNA from 1 species
AUGAAGAUACGACGUCCCGUUGCUUGCCACCAUCCAGCAGCAGGUUACUGCACCCACAUCUGUUGUGUAGGUGCUCCUUGGCUCGUCCCCCUGGACGCUUCACUGGCGGUUGUUCACCAGCCUCGUUGGCACCGAGGGACCCGUUCUGGAGCAGGCUGGCAGAGCUGUGGGUGGAAAUGGCCUUUUGCAAAAGUCCUGAGAAGCUCACGCACCUGUAGAAUCCAAAUUCCGACAGUUCCUCAGAAGUCACAGGGUUCGUGGAGGAGCCUGUUUUGCCACAGGUUUACCCAAUGACUUCUGGGAUGCAUCUUUCAACUCUUAAGUGAAGCAACAUCAGCUUAAAUGUGACUGACAUAAGUAAACACUGUUUGUAUAUGUUUAUUAAUGCCCCACUCAAGAUCUACUGAAAAAUGGUGUCUUGAUCUCUAAGAAUCCAAAACUUCCCACUGGAUUAACAAGUAAAAGCUUACAAAGAGAGUAAGUUAAGAAAAGGUGCAACUACUUCCAGAUGUGGCCUAGAAAAAUUAAAAAAACCCACACAUUUUUUGGUCUCACUAAUACACAAAGAGAGAACUGUGAGAGAUUGCCUACGACAAGCCAAGGAAUGAAGUUAAGACAAGCUGGAAAGAAAAAAAACCAGUGUAUUUUACACGCAAGGCAAUCUGCAAAGAAGAAAAAUGGUCUGCGUGUGUCAGUUUCUUGACGUUGAAAUGUUAAAGACCAAAUUCUUCCUUUUUACAUUAGAAAUUCAUGUCUUAUCUGUCUUGGAGAAUUGCUUAGAGAACUGGUGAGAAUAUUCAAUUCCUCAACUUUCAGUCUUGCUUGAAACACCCUUCCUCUCCAAGAGUCUGGGCACUAUUUUAGCGCAGUUACUUGAGAUUUGGAAGAAAUGGUGAUUCUAACGAGCAACAACCCGGCAUCUUCAGUUAGGCUGGCAGGCUGAAAAAAAUCAUGCUUGCAAUCUGCAAGCCUCUCAUUUUCUAUUCUCUUUGGUGGGGCUACUCAGACUUUCUACAUCAGCACAAUUAACAAAUGAUAGGGCAUUACAUAUGAAAAAUGUUACAGUCAUUUCUCUUCUGACUAGAAGUGAAUAAUACAAUUAAUAAAACACUUUUAAAAAACGUGAAUGCUAUUAAAUACGUAUUACCGGUAUCACAACCAUUCUACAACAUGGAAGAGCAAUGGAAAUGUCACACUGCUGUUCUGCCUCUUUCUCUCAGGCCAUUUGG